UACGAAGGGGGCUAGCGUUGCUCGGAAUGACUGGGCGUAAAGGGCGCGCAGGCGGUUGCUGAAGUCCGUUGUGAAAGCCCCGGGCUUAACCUGGGAAUGGCAGUGGAAACUAGGCGACUUGAAUCUGGCAGAGGGGGGUGGAAUGCCACGUGUAGCAGUGAAAUGCGUAGAGAUGUGGCGGAACACCGAUGGCGAAGGCAGCCCCCUGGGUCGAGAUUGACGCUCAGGCACGAAAGCGUGGGGAGCAAACAGG
rnacentral:rRNA from 1 species